GGGCGAGGCGGGUACUUGACUCCUCCCUCUUCGCCGCCUUUUCUGGGGAAGCGGAGAUUUGCAGAUACUCUCACCGAUAUCUUGACGAAUUCUGCGGUUUUGGUGCGGACGGAAGAAUGUGGAGAGUCGCAGAAAAGAUACCACAAGAUGGAAUGUCGUCAUGCAAGCCCCAACACUUUGAUGUGCACACCAACAUCGCAUAAACAGUCAAAAGAGACAAGAAAUGCUUCAUUCAUUCAUCUUGUAUAGCAAGGUGUAUCCCAACAGAAGUCAAAUUAUGAAUCUGCUUUCGACCUACAUUACUGCCAGAAGCAGCAUUGCCUACACCCUCUGAAACAUGCCAUCCCAGGGAGAGCCUGAUCUAAACUGUGAUAAGAUUUCCAACACAUAAUAUAACAUCAACUUGCUGUGGAAGUCUCACCACACCUUUAAACAACUGAUUUGGACAUUUACCUGAGUUAACACAUACAUCAGAUUCAGCAAUAUGUUUGGGGCAGUAUCAAAAAGUUUUCAAUAGAUUAAAACACACACUCAAUACACAGUGGACCUCUCUAUCUUUAACCAAGUUCCAUUUUUAGUCCAAAUGCUCCCAAUCUUCAUAUUAAAAUGCCUAUUACUAUGCUCCUCCCUCAGUGCUGCCUCUGGGUCCAAAGACACACAUUCCAUAUAGUUAGACAGAGUCAUAUUUAUUAUUGAAAGCCUAGCUCACACGCAUAGACAUCAGUUGUACAACUUUUUCAGAGUAAAAUAUCACAGCAACCUC